ACCGGCAGCUCAAGUGGUGGCCAUUUUUAUUGGGCCAAAACCGUUCGUAGCCGGUUUGUUAAGUCCCUGGUGAAUUCCGGCAGUUUAAUGGUGGGCCUUGUUGGAGAUACUAUUAGACUUGAGGUCGGGAGAGGUUAGGGGUACUCCCAGGGUAGGGGUGAAAUCCUAUAAUCCUGGGAGGACCACCUGUGGCGAAGGCGCCUAACUGGAACGAACCUGACGGUGAGUAACGAAAGCCAGGGGCGCGAACCG
rnacentral:rRNA from 1 species